rnacentral:lncRNA from 1 species
AGAAUUUCAACACAUGAAUUUGAAGCGGGGACACAAACAUUCCUGCCAUAGCAACUGCCUCUGAAUUCUGUGGGAUGAUUGUCCCAAUUGAACAACAUGAUACAACUGUGGACAUUUUUAGAGCUUUUUCUUUGGAAGAGUCCAAAUGACAUGUUUUAACAUUUAAUAGUAAUGGACGAUAGAGGGAAAUUCACUAUCAAAAUGAAACAGAGUUUGAAUAACUUUUGUUAAAUGAUACAGACUCCAAGAAUCGUCAUGCAAAGAUGGCCGUAGGAGAAAACAUGAAGGAAACAGAAAGAACAACAGACAAACCAAACCAUCUCAGUUGAAUGUGGUCUCAGGUCUUUUGUGUGAAAAGAGACAAGACUGUGCUUCUGCCAUAUUGGAGAUUUCCUGGAACUUCUAAGCAUCUAGACAUUCAGUUUUUAUAAGGACAUUCCAGGCUACAUGCUCAGUAUUAGAUAAGCAGCAUCAGCCAGUGGAAAACUACAGCUGCUCUGCGUAUGGAAAUACUGGUGAGCAGCAUUUCUGGAAACAAGUGGGAGGAGUGGAAGGUUCAAGGCUUGAGUAGGUUUGAAAACAUAGGACACUGGCCUUUAUGAACAGACAGACAUCUCAGUGCCUAAAUACCUCAAUGAUAAACAUAGGCACAGAGAAAAAUAAUAAACCAAGAGAGGACCUUGAGUAGCAACUGGGACUGAAUCUUGGUCAUAAGUCUGAGCCUAUCAACCAGCCAGUUAUUAUAGGAAUACUACAGGAAUGAUACAGGGAAUGAUCACAAAGACCACUGUGAAACUUUGGAAUAAAACACAUAGACGUUCCC